AGUAAACUAGAGAAGCCAGUAAAAUAGAAGCUUGAAACUCAGAAUAAAAAUAAAUCAGUUUUCUUAUCCUCUAACAGAUAGAAAUCCUGGAAGGGUAGAAGAAAGGCAGGGGUCCUGCUGUGAGCAUGAGGCAGGCUUCAUAGAUAUCUGAUGAAGAUCCUGUGAAUACCCUUAUCCCUGGAAAUAAGCAGAAGGACUGCCUAAGAAGUUGAAAAACUGUGUUCGGUCUUCUUGGUAUGUACACAAUCUCUUCAUCUGACCAGACUGUAACUAGGAAAUUUAAGAGGUGAAAAGUGCACAAAAUUAAUUUUACUACAUAGACUUGGAAACUAUCUCCAUUCUCCAGCAACUGUCUGGUCCCCCACCAACUGACAGAAGUUAAGAUGCUGGACUGAGAGGCAGUGGUUCCAUGUGUGAAACAAGCUUUGCAUUGCUGAAUUUACAAUAACAGAAGACAUUCAGUUUUCUGUUCUGUUUACAGAGUAAUGUCUCAGAGAGGAGGAAAUGCAGUGCCCCAUUUUGGAGUAUAUGUUUUCCUAGCUAACACAAGCACAAUGCAGUUUCCUCUGGAGAUGCAGCACAUCCCAGGAGCACCUUCCUAUACUAAACCCAUUUCAGACUACUCAAUACCACACAUCAAGGGAGUUUCAGCUAAACCCUGUAAGUGCUGGAUUUUUUAGUUUUGGUUUAGCCCCUCAUUAUCAAAUCUGUAGCUGUCUCAGGAAGUUUUGUCACAUCUACCUUCUCUUUAUUAUGGAACAGCAGUAUUCUCCCAAUUGUUAAGGUUGCACCUAGCUUUUAAAGUCCUAUAUUUGCCCUUCUUUAACUUUGGCUUAGAAAUUGGUUUGGCCUUAAAAUUUCCAUACUUUGAAGGAAAAGAAGGAUAAUUAAUUUUCUUCAAACAGUGUAUAAUCAAACUAUUUUUAAUUUAGAGGUCAAUUAAAAAUUACCCUGAUUGAAAAUUUACUUAUUUAAUAUUUUGCUACCUCUAACUCAAAAGCUGCUUAUUAUAACCUCGUAAAACUUUUCCUGCACUUAGAUCCUUUUGAUAACUCUUAGGCUUCUUAAUUAAAAAUAAA